CGCGCCCGUCGGUGGAGGAAGCAACGGAGCCGGAAGCGGCCGCCGCCACCGCCGAGCCCUUCCGCUUCCCAUUUGUCGUUGCGCCGGUCUGCUCGCCCGACACCACCGCCGGGCCCGUCGGUUCCAGCGAUGCUGCCGCAUCUGCCAAGCCUUGAAUAACUUUCGCGUCCUGCAUCUAACAGAGGAGGAGAAGAGAUGGUGGCGGAUGAGGGAAGAUGGUGACAAGGUUGGAGAUUUCGCGCGCUCUCAGUACCAAUUUUGCCGCCACCACAACUGAUUUCGCGCGCACCACAAUCGAUCCGGAGGAGGAGGCGUCGGCGACGACGAGGACGUACAACGGCAUUGGCGCUAGCAGUUUGGCCUGGGAGCACGAGCCAGUGCCGUCGUCUAGCGAGACGACGGCGAGCUUCUUUCUCAUCAUUAAACACGGCACACGUCGG
rnacentral:lncRNA from 1 species